rnacentral:sRNA from 1 species
AGAGGAGCUCACAAAACUCAUCUAUGAGGCCAGUGGGCAGGACAUCAGCAUUGCCGUCCUCACGCAGGAGAUUGUGGUUUACCUGGCCAUGUAUGUCAGGGCGCAGCCCAGCCUCUUUGUGGAGAUGCUGAGACUCCGGAUUGGACUGAUCAUUCAGGUGAUGGCCACGGAGCUGGCACGGAGCCUGAACUGCUCAGGAGAAGAGGCUUCUGAAAGUUUGAUGAACCUCAGCCCUUUCGAUAUGAAAAAUCUCCUGCACCAUAUUCUAAGUGGGAAAGAGUUUGGCGUUGAAAGAAGUGAUAGGAGGUCUCACCAUGCUGCCCAGGCUGGUCUUGAACUCCUGGGCUCAAGCAGUCUUCCCACCUCGGCCUCCCAAAGUGCUGGGAUUACAGUGCGCCCUAUCCACUCCUCCACAUCCAGCCCUGCCAUCUCCAUCCACGAGGUGGGCCAUACCGGAGUCACCAAAACUGAGAGGAGUGGCAUUAACAGACUGAGGAGUGAAAUGAAACAGAGGUCCAGCACCCCAUCCUCGCCCACUGGCACGUCAUCCUCAGACUCGGGAGGACAUCACAUCGGCUGGGGUGAGCGGCAGGGCCAGUGGCUGCGCAGGAGAAGGCUGGAUGGGGCCAUCAACAGGGUCCCCGUGGGAUUCUACCAGAGGGUGUGGAAGAUCCUCCAGAAGUGCCACGGUCUCUCCAUCGAUGGUUAUGUCCUCCCAUCCUCGACGA